rnacentral:misc_RNA from 1 species
GGAAAUUUUGAGAAACCAAAUUUUUUUUUCUGUUCUCUUUCUGCAUCCGCCCCAGUACCUUCACUUUCUUUCAUGUCCAAUUAGGGUUUUGCUCCUCUCCCAUUCUCCGCCAAAUUAUCCAAUUAAUCGAUCAAUAACUCGAUCAAAAGCUUCUAAUGGGCAGUAACAAGCGGAGACAACUCGACGACCACCGUCUAGAUGCCAACAAGAAACACCAGCAGUCACCUUCCUUCUCCUCUGCAACAACACCCAACACUCAAUCCUCGUCUAAUCCCAGCACUAAACGCCCAACCUUCCCUUCCUAUCUAGACAUCCCUAAUCUCCCUCCCAAAAUUAAGCUCCUCUGCGAAAUCAUCGCUAACACCCCUUCUUCCUCCGUCGAAGCCGUUUUUGGCAACGCCGGCGUCCAUGUCUCCCAGUCCGACGUCGAGCAAGUCCUCAAGCUUUCUUACUCAUUCCCUGGCCCCGCCGUCAAGUUCUUCCGCUGGGCCGGUUUUCAGCUCCAAGAUAAUCACAGCCCUUACUCUUGGAAUCUCAUUGUGGACAUUUUAGGUAAGAAUUCUUUGUUUGAUGCUAUGUGGGAUGCGAUUAAGUCUAUGAGACGAGAAGGGUUGGUUUCUUUAGCAACGUUUGCUUCUGUAUUUGAUAGUUAUGUUAUUGCUGGUAGAGUUAAAGAAGCUAUUAUGACCUUUGAGGUUAUGGAUCAAUAUGGUUGUCCCCGAGAUGUUGUUGCCUUGAAUUCCUUAUUGAGUGCUAUUUGUAGAGAUGGGAAGAAUGUUGAUGCUGUUGAGUUUUUGCAUGUGGCCAGGAAUGUCAUUAAGCCUGAUGCUGAUACUUAUGCCAUUCUUUUGGAGGGGUGGGAAAAGGAAAUGAAUGUGCUUAGUGCUAGACAAACUUUCAUGGAGAUGAUUAGAGAUAUUGGUUGGGAUCCUGUUAAUGUUGCAGCAUAUGAUACGUUUUUGUGUACUUUGCUAAUGGACCGUGAUGGGUUGGAUGAGGCCAUUGGGUUUUUGCAGACAAUGAAGGAUAGGGGGUGUUGUCCAGGAAUGAGAUUUUUUAGAGCAGCACUCAAGGAGUGCUCGAAGUUAAUUGAUGUUAGAAGAGCUGGGUUAAUUUGGGAGGUAAUGGUGGAGAGAAAUAGGCUUAUGCCCGAUACCGAGCUGUAUAAUUUGAUGAUUACUUUACAUUGUUAUGCUAGCAAUACUGAUGUGGCACAAAGGUUUUUGGAUGAGAUGGUUUAUAAUGGGGCCUUUCCUGAUAGUCUAACCUAUAAUUUGAUGUUCCAGUUCUUGAUUAAGAGUAGGAAGUUGAAGGAUGCUUCAGUGCUGUUCAAUGAAAUGAUGAAAAAUGAGUUCAUUCCUAAUCAAGCAAAUUGCAGUGCGGCUGUUAGGGUAUAUAUAAAUUCAGAGGACCCUUAUAUGGCUAUCAAAAUCUGGAAAUGCAUGAUAGAGAAUUACAAAACAGACUUGGAGGAGACGGGAAAUUUGUUGGUUGCUGGGCUGUGGGAUCUCCGCAUGGAUCCUGAAGCAGUAAAAUAUGCUGAAGGUAUGAUCGAAAAGGGAAUCAAGCUCAGUUCUUCAUCAUUGGCAAAAUUGAAACAGAGCCUUACUCGAGCAAGAAAGGAUUUUGUGUACGAGGCACUUCUAGGAAAGUGGAAUGCACAUUCGAUAGUUUAGGUCUUAGUGUAUCUAAAGAAUACAACAGUGCUUUAGCUCACUGCUGGAUGUUAAAGAUACUGUGUACAGUUUAUGUAUUCUUUUGUUGGGGC